rnacentral:rRNA from 1 species
UACGAGAGGGGCAAGCGUUAUUCGGAAUGAUUGGGCGUAAAGAGCACGUAGACGGUGGAGCUAAUCAGAGAUACAAAAAUCAAGGCUAUACUUUGAAAACGGUCUCUUCGAUGGCUCCACUUGAGUGAGUAAGAGGAGAAUGGAAUUCCUGGUGUAGAGGUAAAAUUUGUUGAUAUCAGGAGGAACAUCAAAAGCGAAGGCAAUUCUCUGGUACUCUACUGACGUUGAGGUGCGACAGCGUGGGGAGCGAAAGGG